ACUCAAAUGCUCUAACAAUGAACAGGACAAUCUGAAGAUUUCGGUACACAUUAAACCUGCUUAAAAACUCCUAAUUCAACACCUUUAUGGGAGUAUAACUUAACUAGAGUGCACCAAUUCUAACGCUUAGUACUCAAGUCAUUAGCUCUUCUUAAAACCAAGUCUAAAUGCAAUUUAAGAUAAAAUACUCCUUUGUAGCAGUCCCUCCAAGCAGCAAAGUCACCUCAGAAGGAGACAAUAAAUAUAUAAAUACAAACCAACACAAAAAGCAAAAUUCAAAGAAGGAAAAAAAUCAUACUUUUGAUCUGGGCAUUUCCAUUCAAGCUUUUCUGAAAGGUGAAAGAGGUGGGAUAGUUUUUCUAUUAGAAAUGGCUAUCAGAAUUUUUCAUGUUUGUCUUAGAGAAACUGAAAUUGAUUUAUGUUUAAUAAAUAGCACGCAACACAAUGCAAAUACAGAAAAAAUCUACAACACAUUGUAUGUAAAUAUCAACACGUUGUCAACUCCUCAAUACAUCUCCCAAGGAAUUUGCACUCUGACUUAUUUUCAUGUUAUUGGGAACGGAUUACAAUUGUUUUCCCGUGCAUUUGAGAAUGCUUGUGAUCCCAGAAGAUAUACGUUAGAAUCUUUACUUUGAGAAGAUUUGGAAUGACAAUAGCUGUCAUUCUCUCUUACUUUUAAGUAUAGUUUUAUGCAUGAUCUAUAGAUCUUAAAAAAAUUCAAGAAGUUUUAAAAUCCAUAAUUUAUGUCUCAAUUCUUACUCUAUAUAUUCUUAUAUCAGCAGCCCUGGUAUACCAUAACAUCUUUGACAAACCCUGGGUUCUGUUCACCUUAUAAGGCAUCUUCUCCAAUGGAAUGCAGCCAGCCCUGUGUAUUUCAUCAACCUUCAAAGAUCAGUUCUGUUUCAGUGCAGGAUGACUGUGUUUUGGCAAGAAGCAACGAAGUCUUGAGUGUGUGGAGGAUUUAAAAAUCAAUCUAAUCUUUCAUAACAGCACCAAUGGCCCUUUUAGUUUUAAUGUCCCCAAAUAAUAAAGGAUGGUUGUUGAACUGGAUAUAGCAGGCUUAGCAGAUUGUUUUUCUAAUUGGUGUUUUUUUCAUCUUAACUUCAACCUUGGCAUUUUCCUUCUGGAUUUGAACACAGCAUUUCCUCAAGUGGGCGCCAGAGGAACUUGAGAACCCCAGCCUUUGUGCACGGCUGUGCAACCUGGACUUUGUCGAGACAGGAGUGCAUUACCAUGACAUUUAAGGAGGAGAACAAGCUGCUCUGAAUUGUGUCAAUCUCACUUGUGAUCUAUUUUUGAACAAUGUACUAGAAAGAUAUUCCCGUUCACACAGAACUAGUGAUUUACCCUCUGGUGGAUUCUACCCCUCCAGCUACUUGGCGAUAAAUAAAGCCAGAGUGGAGAGAGAGUGUAAAUAAAAAUUAACUGUACCCAAUUGGCUCCCCAAUGCUUUCAUUUAUGCAUGCUUGUUUGAUGAGGUACUUUUCUAUUUUUUUUUUUUUUUUGAGAUGGA
rnacentral:lncRNA from 1 species